CCUGUACUUGGUGUUACUGCGAAGGGGGGACGGAGAAGGCUAUGUUGGCCGGGCGACGGUUGUCCCGGUUUAAGCGUGUAGGUGUGUGUUCCAGGUAAAUCCGGUUCACUUUAACACUGAGGCGUGAUGACGAGGCACUACGGUGCUGAAGCAACAAAUGCCCUGCUUCCAGGAAAAGCCUCUAAGCAUCAGGUAACAUCAAAUCGUACCCCAAACCGACACAGGUGGUCAGGUAGAGAAUAC
rnacentral:rRNA from 1 species